rnacentral:rRNA from 1 species
AGAGUGAACGCUGGCGGUAGGCCUAACACAUGCAAGUCGAACGGCAGCACGGUAAGAGCUUGCUCUUAUGGGUGGCGAGUGGCGGACGGGUGAGGAAUACAUCGGAAUCUACCUUUUGGUGGGGGAUAACGUAGGGAAACUUACGCUAAUGCCGCAUACGCCCUUCGGGGGAAAGCCGGGACCAGCAAUGGCCUGGUGCUGAUAGAUGAGCCGAUGUCGGAUUAGCUAGUUGGUGAGGUAAUGGCUCACCAAGGCGACGAUCCGGUAGCUGGUCUGAGAGGAUGAUCAGCCACACUGGAACUGACGACACGGUCCAAGACUCCU